rnacentral:tRNA from 1 species
CUGGGGCUGGGGCUCAGUGGUAGAUCCCUCGCCUAGCAUGCGUGAGGCGUUGGGUUCGAUCCUCAGCACCACA